UCUGGUGAUGAUGUCUUGAAGGUAACACCCGUACCCAUGCCGAACACGAAGGUUAAGCUUCAAAGAGCCGAAAGUACUGCACGGGAAGCCGUGUGGGAGGAUAGGUUGUUGCCAGGUA
rnacentral:rRNA from 1 species